UGCUGUUUGUUAAUAACUGGAAUCUGUUCUGGGAGCGUCCUAGGUUGUUUCGUCCUGAUGGCCUGCACCCCAGCAGCCUCGGAGCGGAACUGCUGUCUGACAACAUCUCCAAGACGCUACAGACCAAGUGACUGUCUACCUCAAUGGUGCAACAAGGUAUGUGGACUAGAUGACCUAUCUGGCCUUUGAUUAGGCCUACUGCAUCUUCUGAUGGAGAUGUAAAACGAAGUGCGUGAGUUUAAAAGACCUGUGUUCCUGUAGGUGUUGAGAGGAUAGAGUGGAGGAUACGUUUGGCUCGGAUCAGGAGGAUCCUUAGGCUCUUGCCGGAGUUUCUGCGCAUGUGGUUCAUUACGCACCGGUUUCACUGAUUGCAUUUAACGUGCAGCCGAGAAGCUGACGGAAGGUGAGCUGCAUGGUGGCAGGCUGAUCACCGAUCAGAAGGUACUACACUGAAAUACUCCACCCCGGUCAGAGUAACUCUUCUGCACUGUAGCUUUGUAGAUAGAAGUUGUUUUAGUUCGAGAUGGCGUCGUCACCCUCAGGUUCGAGUUUAAAGCAGAAGAAGCGUUACAGGAACUUGUCAUUAAUCUCUCACUGUGACCCGAAAGCUGCUUGUUGGAUGUUUAAUGUAAGAUUAGAAAGUUCAGCUGGUUUAUCUCCUCUCAGGUGUGUGUAAAAGAGAACCUGGCUGUAUCCUUGCAGCGUGUGAUUUCUAUUUCAUCUGUGUUUUCAGAAGGAGGUGGAAGAUUGAGGAGCCGAUUUUUAUUUUGUUUUUUGUUAAAUAAAAGGUUUCUUUAAACAACCAACACCUGCCUGACUGUACGAGUUAUUUACACGAACCAGUCGCAGGAACGUCUUGCUAUUAGGGAUGUGAAAGUGAUAAUAUCUUUUUGUACACAGCGUAAUAGAACUGAGGCAUCAGGAAUC